AAGGAAUAUUGGACAAUGGGGGCAACCCUGAUCCAGCCAUGCCGCGUGAAGGAAGAAGGACCUAUGGUUUGUAAACUUCUUUUGUAGCAGAGAAAACCCUCCCAUGCGUGGGAGGUUGAUAGUAUGCUAAGAAUAAGCAUCGGCUAACUUCGUGCCAGCAGCCGCGGUAAUACGAAGGAUGCGAGCGUUAUCCGGAUUUAUUGGGUUUAAAGGGUGCGUAGGCGGCCUUAUAAGUAAGUGGUGAAAUCCUAUCGCUUAACGAUAGACGUGCCAUUGAUACUGUAGGGCUUGAGUACAGAUGCCGUUGGCGGAAUGUGUCAUGUAGCGGAGAAAUGCAUAGAUAUGACACAGAACACCGAUUGCGAAGGCAGCUGACGAAACUGUAACUGACGCUGAUGCACGAAAGCGUGGGGAUCAAA
rnacentral:rRNA from 1 species